UACGUAGGGUCCGAGCGUUGUCCGGAAUUAUUGGGCGUAAAGGGCUCGUAGGCGGUUUGUCGCGUCGGGAGUGAAAACUCGGAGCUUAACUCCGAGCCUGCUUCCGAUACGGGCAGACUAGAGGUAUGCAGGGGAGAACGGAAUUCCUGGUGUAGCGGUGAAAUGCGCAGAUAUCAGGAGGAACACCGGUGGCGAAGGCGGUUCUCUGGGCAUUACCUGACGCUGAGGAGCGAAAGUGUGGGGAGCGAACAGG
rnacentral:misc_RNA from 1 species